rnacentral:rRNA from 1 species
UACGUAGGUGGCAAGCGUUGUCCGGAUUUACUGGGCGUAAAGAGCGCGCAGGCGGCCAAGUCAGUCGAAUGUGAAAGCCCCCGGCUUAACUGGGGAGGGUCAUUCGAUACUGCUCGGCUCGAAGACAGGAGAGGGAAGCGGAAUUCCCGGUGUAGUGGUGAAAUGCGCAGAUAUCAGGAAGAACACCCGUGGCUAAGGCGGCUCUCUAGUACGGUACUGACGCUGAGACGCGAAAGCGUGGGGAGCGAACAGG